GACGAACGCUGGCGGCGUGCUUAACACAUGCAAGUCGAACGGAAAGGCCCUGCUUUUGUGGGGUGCUCGAGUGGCGAACGGGUGAGUAACACGUGAGUAACCUGCCCUUGACUUUGGGAUAACUUCAGGAAACUGGGGCUAAUACCGGAUCGGAGCUCCUGCUGCAUGGUGGGGGUUGGAAAGUUUCGGCGGUUGGGGAUGGACUCGCGGCUUAUCAGCUUGUUGGUGGGGUAGUGGCUUACCAAGGCUUUGACGGGUAGCCGGCCUGAGAGGGUGACCGGCCACAUUGGGACUGAGAGACGGCCCAGACUCCUACGGGAGGCAGCAGUGGGGAAUAUUGCACAAUGGGCGGAAGCCUGAUGCAGCAACGCCGCGUGCGGGAUGACGGCCUUCGGGUUGUAAACCGCUUUCGCCUGUGACGAAGCGUGAGUGACGGUAAUGGGUAAAGAAGCACCGGCUAACUACGUG
rnacentral:rRNA from 1 species